CUGCUGCUUUUGUGCUCUCCCUCCCGCCCGCCAUGGCCAGCCUUAAGGAUCUCGAAGGGAAGUGGCGCCUGAUGGAAAGCCACAGCUUUGAGGAGUACAUGAAAGAGCUAGGAGUAGGACUGGCUCUUAGGAAGAUGGCUGCCAUGGCCAAGCCAGACUGUAUCAUUACCUGUGAUGGCGACAACAUCACCGUCAAAACCGAGAGCACGGUGAAGACGACUGUGUUCUCUUGUAUCCUGGGACAGAAGUUUGAUGAAACUACGGCUGAUAGAAGAAAAACUGAGACGGUCUGCACCUUCACAGACGGUGCCCUGGUCCAGCACCAGCAAUGGGACGGGAAGGAGAGCACAAUAACAAGAAAACUGAAGGAUGGGAAGAUGAUUGUGGAGUGUGUCAUGAACAAUGCCACCUGCACUCGGGUCUAUGAGAAGGUGCAAUGAGGGCUUCAUCGUCAUCCUGGACAGGAGUUAGCUGCCAGAGUGACUAUGCUCAAUUCAAUGAGCGGUCAUAAACAACAGAUGGCUUCAUUUCUUUGGUUUUAUUUUUCUUGACUGCUGAGUUCUCUUAAACACUUUACAGGGAACUCCAUGUCAAACUUGGUUUACCCAGGAUCAUUCCUUUGGUUAGUAAAUAAAUGUGUUUGUG